AGUCAUACAAGUACAGAGGAAGUCAUACAGGUACAGAGGAAGUCAUACAGGUACAUAGGAAGGCAUACAGGUACAUGGGAAGGCAUACAGGUACAUAGGAAGGCAUACAGGUAGAUAGGAAGGCAUACAGGUACAGAGGAAGGCAUUAAGAUACUGUACAUAGGAAGGCAUACAGGUACAUAGGAAGGCACACAGGUACAGAGGAAGUCAUACAGGUAGAGAGGAAGGCAUACAGGUACAGAGGAAGUCAUAUAGGUACAAAGGGAGUCAUACAGGUACAGAGGAAGGCAUACAGGUCCAGAGGAAGUCAUACAGGUACAGAGGGAGUCAUACAGGUACAGAG